rnacentral:rRNA from 1 species
ACUCCUACGGGAGGCAGCAGUAGGGAAUCUUCCACAAUGGGCGCAAGCCUGAUGGAGCAACACCGCGUGAGUGAAGAAGGGUUUCGGCUCGUAAAGCUCUGUUGUUAAAGAAGAACACGUAUGAGAGUAACUGUUCAUACGUUGACGGUAUUUAACCAGAAAGUCACGGCUAACUACGUGCCAGCAGCCGCGGUAAUACGUAGGUGGCAAGCGUUAUCCGGAUUUAUUGGGCGUAAAGAGAGUGCAGGCGGUUUUCUAAGUCUGAUGUGAAAGCCUUCGGCUUAACCGGAGAAGUGCAUCGGAAACUGGAUAACUUGAGUGCAGAAGAGGUAGUGGAACUCCAUGUGUAGCGGUGGAAUGCGUAGAUAUGUGGAAGAACACCAGUGGCGAAGGCGGCUACCUGGUCUGCAACUGACGCUGAGACUCGAAAGCAUGGGUAGCGAACAGGAUUAGAUACCCCUGGUAGGAUAGCG